rnacentral:rRNA from 1 species
GACGAACCGUGCGAACGUUAUUCGGAAUCACUGGGCUUAAAGAGCGUGUAGGCGGAUGGGAACGUCGGUCGCUGAAAUCCCCCGGCUCAACCGGGGAACGGGCGCCGAAACGACCCGUCUGGAGGGACGUAGGGGGACCUGGAACUUCCGGUGGAGCGGUGAAAUGCGUUGAGAUCGGAAGGAACGCCCGUGGCGAAAGCGAGGUCCUGGACGUCUACUGACGCUGAGACGCGAAAGCUAGGGUAGCGAACGGG